AUUGAACGCUGGCGGCAGGCCUAACACAUGCAAGUCGAGCGAGCGGCGGGCGGUUGAGUAAUGGCUGGGAAAAUGCCUGAUGGAGGGGGAUAACUACUGGAAACGGUAGCUAAUACCGCAUACCAUCAGAUGUGCCCAGGUGGGAUUAGCUAGUAGGUGGGGUAACGGCUCACCUAGGCGACGAUCCCUAGCUGGUCUGAGAGGAUGACCAGCCACACUGGAACUGAGACACGGUCCAGACUCCUACGUGAGGCAGCAGUGGGGAAUAUUGCGCAAUGGGCGAAAGCCUGAUGGAGCCAUGCCGCGUGUGUGAAGAAGGCUUUCGGGUUGUAAAGCACUGUCGGCGGGGAGGCGUUACCCACAGAAGAAGCACCGGCUAACUCCGUGCCAGCAGCCGCGGUAAUUC
rnacentral:rRNA from 1 species